rnacentral:tRNA from 1 species
GCACCAGUAGCUCAACUGGAUAGAGCACCUCACUACGGAUGAGGAGGUUGAGAGUUCGAAUCUUUCCUGGUGUACUA